rnacentral:rRNA from 1 species
AGAGUUUGAUCCUGGCUCAGGACUAAUGCUGACGGUGUGCAUAAUACAUGCAAGUCGAACGUGCAAUAUGAAAGUAGCAAUACUUUUAUAAAGCAAGUGGCGAACGGGUGAGUAACGCGUGGAUAAUCUGCCUUAAAGACUGGAAUAACUCUCCGAAAGGAGUGCUAAUACCAGAUGUUUUAUAGUUUUCCAUGAUAAUUAUAAUAAAGGUAGCCGCAAGGCUUCUGCUUUAAGAUGAGUCCGCGUCCUAUUAGCUUGUUGGUGGGGUAAUGGCCUACCAAGGCUAUGAUGGGUAGCCGGUCUGAGAGGAUGAACGGCCACACUGGGACUGAGAUACGGCCCAGACUCCUACGGGAGGCAGCAGUAGGGAAUAUUGCGCAAUGGGGGGAACCCUGACGCAGCAACGCCACGUGUGGGAAGAAGCAUUUCGGUGUGUAAACCACUGUCGGAAAGGAAUAACGGAAGACUUCGGUCUUUAUGAAUGUACUUUUAGAGGAAGCACCGGCAAACUUCGUGCCAGCAGCCGCGGUAAUACGAGGGGUGCAAGCGUUGUUCGGAAUCACUGGGCGUAAAGGGAGCGUAGGCGGAAGUGCAAGCAAUCUGUAUAAUCCUGGGGCCCAACCCCAGUUCUGCAGAUUGGACUGUAUUUCUUGAAUAGUUCAGAGGCAAGCGGAAUUUCUGGUGUAGCGGUGGAAUGCGUAGAGAUCAGAAAGAACACCAAUGGCGAAGGCAGCUUGCUGGGGACUUAUUGACGCUGAGGCUCGAAAGUGUGGGUAGCAAACAGGAUUAGAUACCCUGGUAGUCCACACUGUAAACGAUGCAUACUGGGUGUCCGAAAUUCGUUUCGGGUACCGUAGCUAACGCGUUAAGUAUUCCGCCUGGGGAGUACGUACGCAAGUAUGAAACUCAAAGGAAUUGACGGGGGCCCGCACAAGCGGUGGAGCAUGU